UACGUAGGAGGCGAGCGUUGUCCGGAGUUACUGGGCGUAAAGGGUGCGCAGGCGGCCGCGCGCGUGGGUGGUGAAAUCUCCCGGCUCAACUGGGAGGGGGCCAUCCAGACGGCGUGGCUUGAGGCUCGGAGGGGGGCGUGGAAUUCCGGGUGGAGCGGUGAAAUGCGUUGAUAUCAGAAGGAACGCCGGCGGCGAAAGCGGCGCACUGGACCUUUUCUGACGCUGAGGCGCGAAAGCCAGGGGAGCAAACAGG
rnacentral:rRNA from 1 species